rnacentral:misc_RNA from 1 species
ACAUCAAGAAAUUCAGAUUUCAUGGUCAAUAUUCACAAGUCUUUUCUACUGGGGUUACCCAUCCCUCUUUUGUGGUCACAUGCUGGAGUUGAAAACAUUAAUGGGACUGUGGAAUUUGAAAACAGUGAGGGGAGCCAGAUUACUUCCAACAAUGAAUUUCCAGAAGUUAAAGUUGAACCACUGGAUAGUCUAUCUGGCUUUAGGAAAAACUUAGGAGUUCAUUCAAACAUUCAACAGGUGGCUGGAAGUGAUAAGAUGGAAGUGGACUCAGUCCUGCUGCAAUCUGAAACUAAAAUGGAUCUGGUAGAAAGAGGUUUCUAUCCUUUGCCUGGCUUAAUGUGUGAAUCAUGGACAGAUGUUGAAUGUGAUAGUUUUCUUCUUGGUCUAUACAUAUUUGGGAAGAAUCUUG